GAUGAACGCUGACAGAAUGCUUAACACAUGCAAGUCAACUUGAAUUUGGGUUUUUAACUUAGGUUUGGGUGGCGGACGGGUGAGUAACGCGUAAAGAACUUGCCUCACAGCUAGGGACAACAUUUGGAAACGAAUGCUAAUACCUAAUAUUAUGAUAAUAGGGCAUCCUAUAAUUAUGAAAGCUAUAAGCGCUGUGAGAGAGCUUUGCGUCCCAUUAGCUAGUUGGAGAGGUAACGGCUCACCAAGGCGAUGAUGGGUAGCCGGCCUGAGAGGGUGAUCGGCCACAAGGGGACUGAGACACGGCCCUUACUCCUACGGGAGGCAGCAGUGGGGAAUAUUGGACAAUGGACCGAGAGUCUGAUCCAGCAAUGCUGUGUGCACGAUGAAGUUUUUCGGAAUGUAAAGUGCUUUCAGUUGGGAAGAAACAAAUGACGGUACCAACAGAAGAAGUGACGGCUAAAUACGU
rnacentral:rRNA from 1 species